rnacentral:rRNA from 1 species
UUUGAUCCUGGCUCAGAACGAACGCUGGCGGCAGGCCUAACACAUGCAAGUCGAGCGCACCUUCGGGUGAGCGGCGGACGGGUGAGUAACGCGUGGGAAUAUGCCCUUUGGUACGGAAUAGUCCUGGGAAACUGGGGGUAAUACCGUAUGCGCCCUUCGGGGGAAAGAUUUAUCGCCAAAGGAUUAGCCCGCGUUGGAUUAGGUAGUUGGUGGGGUAAUGGCCUACCAAGCCGACGAUCCAUAGCUGGUUUGAGAGGAUGAUCAGCCACACUGGGACUGAGACACGGCCCAGACUCCUACGGGAGGCAGCAGUGGGGAAUCUUAGACAAUGGGGGCAACCCUGAUCUAGCCAUGCCGCGUGAGUGAUGAAGGCCCUAGGGUUGUAAAGCUCUUUCAGCUGGGAAGAUAAUGACGGUACCAGCAGAAGAAGCCCCGGCUAACUCCGUGCCAGCAGCCGCGGUAAUACGGAGGGGGCUAGCGUUGUUCGGAAUUACUGGGCGUAAAGCGCACGUAGGCGGACCGGAAAGUUGGGGGUGAAAUCCCGGGGCUCAACCCCGGAACUGCCUUCAAAACUAUCGGUCUGGAGUUCGAGAGAGGUGAGUGGAAUUCCGAGUGUAGAGGUGAAAUUCGUAGAUAUUCGGAGGAACACCAGUGGCGAAGGCGGCUCACUGGCUCGAUACUGACGCUGACCGUGC